CUAAAAUAAGAAAAAUUCGGAAUCCUCACCCCGCGCACACCGCAGUAGCAGGCGGUGCCGCCCCCAAUGGGGGCUGACUGGGCGUGGGAGAUGUGGGCCGUGAAGCACGUCGGCCCCUCCGGGAAGCCGGUCCAGGCUGCGCUGCUGCUCAACUACGCCCCCUCCGGGCCAUCUCGGCUCCUUCCCGUCGUAGUAGAGCAAGAGAGAAGACAACUUUCAGCUUUUGAUAUGCAACCAUUCCUGGACUUUGUCAAGAGGGGCAAUCUGCAGACUGAAUUCUUUUCUGUUGGGCCGACCUAUGUGUGAACUUAAUUUUGUUUAUAUGACAUGUCAAAUUGAUUGCCAUUGUUGUGGCCAGCAAUUUGUGACAGAAAAUUAUGAUUUGUACAUUUGGUCACGUCAAUCCAUGAGAACUGGUUUUGUGCCUGUUGCAUUAAUAGCACAAAGUCAGGAGGUGAAGGAGUAAUAGCUAUGCAGAUUGGAGCUUACUUGAUAGUCUCUAUGUAUGUACUUUUUCUUCAACUUUCAAUUCAUGGAAAUUGGUUGCCAUAUUUUUUAACAUAUUGCUAUUUAAUUCAUACCA